rnacentral:rRNA from 1 species
UACGAAGGGGGCUAGCGUUGCUCGGAAUCACUGGGCGUAAAGCGCACGUAGGCGGAUCUUUAAGUCAGGGGUGAAAUCCUGGAGCUCAACUCCAGAACUGCCUUUGAUACUGGGGAUCUCGAGUCCGGAAGAGGUGAGUGGAACUGCGAGUGUAGAGGUGAAAUUCGUAGAUAUUCGCAAGAACACCAGUGGCGAAGGCGGCUCACUGGCCCGGUACUGACGCUGAGGUGCGAAAGCGUGGGGAGCAAACAGG